rnacentral:rRNA from 1 species
AGCGGCGGACGGGUGAGUAACGCGUGGGUAACCUGCCUCAUACAGGGGGAUAACAGUUAGAAAUGACUGCUAAUACCGCAUAGGACCACGGUACCGCAUGGUACAGUGGUAAAAACUCCGGUGGUAUGAGAUGGACCCGCGUCUGAUUAGGUAGUUGGUGGGGUAACGGCCUACCAAGCCGACGAUCAGUAGCCGACCUGAGAGGGUGACCGGCCACAUUGGGACUGAGACACGGCCCAG